GCUGAAAGCAUCUAAGCGUGAAGCCCACCUCAAGAUGAGAUUUCCCAUAGCAUAAGCUAGUAAGACCCCUUGAAGAACACAAGGUUGAUAGGUCAGAGGUGCAAGUGCGGUAACGUAUUUAGCUGACUGAUACUAAUAGGUCGAGGGCUUGACCAA
rnacentral:ncRNA from 1 species